rnacentral:rRNA from 1 species
UACGGAGGGGGCGAGCGUUAUUCGGAAUUAUUGGGCGUAAAGGGCGCGUAGGCGGCUCUUUAAGUCAAAGGUGAAAUCCCUCGGCUCAACUGAGGAACUGCCUUUGAAACUGAGGAGCUUGAGUCCGGGAGGGGGUAGCGGAAUUCCCAGUGUAGCGGUGAAAUGCGUAGAUAUCAGGAGGAACACCAGUGGCGAAGGCGGUGUUCUGGGCCUGUACUGACGCUGAUGCGCGAAAGCGUGGGGAGCGAACAGG